rnacentral:lncRNA from 10 species
AGUUUUGAAAGAACUCAGGCAGCCAUGGGGUAUUUUUCAGAAUUCCCGGCGGUGAAGGGUCAGAGCCAUGGGCAUUAGGGAGAAAGCUGAAGGCACAGCGGGUGUGAGUGUGGGGUCGCUGCCUGCAACACUUGGAAGAAAUACGGGGAAGGGCGGGGGAGGGAUCAAAACUGGCUUGUGUGGCCAAGGAUCAAGUUGUUAUUAAGCACUUUUAUGUGCCUGACAGAGUGCCAAAGUCUCCCGUGAUGUAUCCUGUGUCCACAUCCCAACAACCCCAUCGGCAGGACUCUUUCCUGGUUUGCCCACAAGGAGGAAAGUGAGGAAAGUGAGGCGUCAGAGAGAUGAAGCAACUUGUUUGAAGGCGGCCACACAGCUGGCCCUGAGGAUAUCCAGACCCUAGAGGACCAAUGACAGGCAGACAGGCCCAAGAUGGGAAACCCAGAAGCACUCUGAGAUGUCCUAGACGCUGAGAUGUCCUGCCUGAGACCUCCAGGAUUAACUGAAGGCCAGCAGCUAGUGCUCCUGAGCCCAGUCAUAAGUGACAGUCUAUGAGGGCAAACUGAUCCCCACUUCUUUUCACUCCUUAAGCUUCUACUGAAGCCUCCAGCAGACUCUUGGGCCCCAAAGCUGCUGCGUCCCCUAGAAACACCUAAAAGGAUGCUCCUGGCUGCAAAGCGCCCUGAGCCUAUAACCACAGGAACUGCUCCAUCAGUAUCCAGUGUGCCUGCUUAUUGCCUGGUUACCUGCCCGGCUUGUCCUUGUGCAGAUGCAGUGGAUGCCAGAACACCCUACAGCUGGAGAGAGGCGGGGAAACCCUCAGGUGCUUGUGCCUACGAGCACUGCCCCAGCCUGGCAGCACCAGGGAUGGGAGAGGAAGGAAAGCCCCAGGAAUGCCUGUGGGGUGUGACAGCAGCCCCUGAGUGAAGAGCUGUGCCCAACCCCAGCUAAGCCCUCAGGACCCAGGACAAGGGGCCUUCUUCUACAUAGGAGAGUGGCCUCAUCAGCAUCCCACAUAGAGGGAGGCAGACAGGCCCUGCAAACCUUCCUCUAAACUUCACGCAUCUCCUCGGAAGUCCCUAUAAUAAUGACAAGUAGGUUUAUUGAGCACUAAUGGGCUGGGUGCUUGGCUAAGUGGUUUAUGUCAGCAUCUCAUUUAAUUCUCCGAAGAACCUUGUAUGCUAGUAUUAUGGGGAGCCUGUCUAGUGGGUCAGAAAAUAUGACCGACAAUAAAAAUUUGAAGACAAUAACAACAAUAAUAACAUUAACAAAGGAAACAAUGCUUCCCAGAGAUCUAAGGAAGGGAAAUUAAUGUCUGAUGAAGGGAUGAUUAAAGUGACGAUGGAGAAAGGGAUUUCACAGGAAAUACGAAGAUACGAAAGUAAUUCUUCAGAGAAGAUCUCCACCAAGAACACUCAACCCACAUUCAGGCAGAAUAUGCAAGGAGGCAAACUGUUGUGGACUACGCGAUCUCCACAUGGAAGAUGUCACAUCAAAAAAUAAAAAUAGGCCGGGCGCGGUGGCUCACGCCUGUAUUUCCAGCACUUUAUGAAGCCGAGGCGAGUGGAUCACCUGAGGUCAGGAGUUUGAGACCAGCCUGGCUAACAUGGUGAAACCCCAUCUCUGUUAAAAACACAAAAUUAGCCAGGUGUGGUGGCACAUGUCUGCAAUCCCAGCUACUCGGGAGGCUGAGACAGGAGAAUUGCUUGAACCCAGGAGGCAGAGGCUGCAGUAAGCCGAGAUCGUGCCACUGCACUCCAGCCUGGGUAAGACAGAGCGAGACUCUGUCAAUAAUAAUAAUAAUAAUAAUAAUAAUAAUAAUAAAUAAACAAACAAAAACUCUGGUUCCUGGCGGCUUCUCUUGAAAUAUCAGAAUGGUACCACGGCACCCUCCUUCUGAUGUGGGAACAGUUGGUUGGAGCCAAGAAGCUACAGCUUUUUAGACUGAGUGUGCAUGCUCUGGUCAACACAGUCCCCACCACCCCCUAAUGCCUUUCACUUGGCCCUUCCUCUCAUCUCCACUAACUGCCUGGCACCAUGGGCGUUUCGCAUUGAUCCCAAAGGCGCUUCCCAGCCGUCCCUUAGCUGAUCCCCUGCUGCCACCUGGUGGUCACAGUUCUUCUGUGCCAUCAAUGCAUAUCAGUGAUAUUCCUGGUACAUCUACCACCAGGCACACUGAUUGUCCCUUAUUUAAUCCUUUUACCAACCCUGGGAGAACAGGAAUUAUUGUAUCCAUUUUACAGAUGAGAAAACAGAAAAGGUAAGUUGGGUAAUUAUAGAUAAGAAAAAAAAAUGAGCAAGGUUAAGUGAAUAAAUCAUUCAGGAUCCCAGAUUCCAUGAUGUUGCCAGAGUGGAAUCCAGCUCUUUCCUUUGCCCCAGCCCAGGGUAUUUUAGGCUCUGUCCUGCCACACCCUUGAGAUGGCCAGAACUCUGCAGUGAGUACUUUUGAGUCUGAGUGGGAGGACAGAGCAGCCUGGGGGCCAUCAGCAGAUGUCUUCAUACAUAGAAACCACGGUCCAUCCAUAGUCAAGACAUUUGCUGCUUGCCUAUGGCCAAGUAGGUCUUGGACUCAGAUUUUUUUUCUUUUUCUUUUUUAAAAAAAUAAAAAUAAAUAAAUAAAUAAAUAAAUAAAAACAGGGUCUCCGUCUGUCACCCAGACUGGAGUGUAGCGGCGCAAUCACAGCUCACUGCAGCCUCGACCUCCUGGGCUCAAGAAAUCCUCCUGGGUAGCUGGGACUACAGGCAUGAGGUACUGGGGCCUGGUGUGGACUUAGAUUUUCUGAGGCCAAGUGCUGGGCCUUUUCAUGCCACCACACUGCCUCCCAGGCCUGAGAAGGCCUCCAUCCUGUAGAUGACAGAGUAAUCCCAUAGGAUUGCUUUAUUUUUAUUUUUUUGAGGCAAGAGUCUUGCUUCGUCACCCAGGCUGGUGUUCAAUGGCAUGGUGAUCUCGGCUCACUACAACCUCUGCCUCCCAGUUUCAAGCAAUUCUCCUACCUGAGCCUCCCGAGUAGCUGGGAUUACAGGCGCACGCCACCAUGCCCAGCUAAUUUUUUGUAUUUUUAGCAGAGACAGGAUUUCACCAUGUUGGCCAGGAUGGUCUUGAACUCCUGACCUCAAGUGAUCCAUCUGCCUUGCCCUCCAAAGUGCUGGGAUUACAGGUGUGAGCCACCACACCCAGCCGGAUUACUCUCUCCAAUCUUAUGUAUCCCACAAGGCCCAGCACCUGCACCACCUUCCUCAGGAAACUGCCCCUGGCCACCUCAGCCUUCCCAAAUCUCUCCCUUGUCUGAGCACCUAUAUGCCUGGUCCAUAGCACCCCUCUGGGGCUGAGGGCAUCUUUUCCUGUAGGGCCAGAUAACUGCUUGAUGUCUGACUCUCCAGUCGGCCAGGAGAGUCCUUGAAGGCAAGGCUUUGGUGUUCCUAUCCUCUCUGGGAUGCUUACUAAGCAAUAUGUAUUGAACAUCUAGUACUUGAGGCACAUGACAAAGGCUUAGGGAGAUUCUGGGAUGAAUCAGAAGUUCUCAGCCUCAAGGAGCAUGCAGUUGCCUGUGGGCGCAACAGGCACACAGUCAGAGCCUAGUGAUCUUCCCAAAGUACAACCCUGAGCACAUCACUCCUCUGUUUCAAACCCUUUCAUGCCUCCCCCACUGCCCUCAGAAUAAAAUCCAAGGCUCCUUUCCAUGUUUGCUGCACUUCUGGGCCUCCAAAUGUUCUCUCUCUGCCAUCUUCACCUAACCACCCACUGGGCCUCAGCUUGGAUAUCACCUCUUCCAGGAAGCCUUCCUUGGCCGCCAAGUCUGAGACAGAGGUAGGCCUCUUCCCUGGCUUGCGUGGCACCUGCCAUUACUUCAUCCUGACACUUACACGGCACGUAAUUGAUGGGUGCCUCAUCUGCCUGCCUUAGAGACUGGGAUCUGGAAGA